AAAAAACAGAUUUAAUUCAAUUUCAUCAUUCAAAUUCAGACACCGCUUAGAAUCAAAGACAUAAAUAGUUAUUAGAUCUAAAACAAAGAAGAAGAAGAAGAAGCUCUUUAUCAAAAACAACAAUGCAUUCAACUGAAGGAGACUUAGAUCUUAGGCAAUCUUCUCAUUCUUCUUUCACCACCGGAGAAAACGCAUUCGCCGAUGUAGGGAAUUUGGAACACUGCGCCAAGUAUUUGAACCAAUCGCUCGUCACAUUUGGUUUUCCUGCUUCGCUCGAUCUAUUCGCAAACGAUCCUGUUUCGAUAGCGAGGACUUGCAACUGUAUAUACUUUUUGCUUCAGCAGAGACAGCGUGAUGUUGAGUUUAGAGAGUCGGCGAAUGAACAAAGACAACGAUUGUUAUCUGAUAUAUCGAGAUUUGAGGCCAAAGUUGAGAGGCUUGAAGGGCAAAUACAAACUAAAGACAGAGAGAUAGCGACGUUAACUAGGAAGGAAGCUAAAAACACUGCAGCUCUUAAGGCCACAAUUGACAAGCUGCAACAGGAGAGGGAUGAAUUUCAGAGGAUGGUUAUUGGUAAUCAGCAAGUAAGGACUCAACAAGUACAUGAGAUGAAGAAGAAGGAAAAGGAAUACAUAAAAUUGCAGGAGAGACUAAACCAAGUAUUGAUGGAGAAGAAGAAAGAAUCUAGGUCGGGCAUGGAGAUAAUGAAUUUGCUUCAGAAAGAAGGGAGGCCACGUGGGACUUGGAAUGGGAAGAAAACAGACAAUGAUUUUUAUAAAAAGAUUGUGGAUGCUUAUGAGGUGAAAAAUCAAGAACUGAUAGCGGAAAAUGCUGAUUUAAGAGCAUUAUUGAGAUCAAUGCAGGUGGAUAUGCGUGAUUUCUUAAAUGCUCCUAAUGGACUACCAAAUCAAUCUCCCACUCCAAAUGAAAGAGCUGAAAGUAAUCCUUCGCAAUCUCCGCUGGUUGGGAGAACGGACGUAUUUGAUCUUCCUUUUCACAUGGCCAGAGAUCAAAUUGAAGAGAGUCUUAGAACCAAGAUGGCUUCUAUAAAGGAGCGCAUGGUUCAAUUGCAAGAUGCUCAGAAAGAGGCAGACGUCACUUCGGAAGCUACCGAGAGGGAACUUGAGCUUGAAGCUCAACUUGUUGAAGCAAGGAGCAUCAUACAAGAGCAGCAGAAAAAUAAAACUACUUUUAAAGGAAGCAAGAAUUGGUGUUUCAUUGAGGAUUGAUAUAUGCCUACAACAUGCAACUCCAUAUCUUUUGGCGGGUCCAGUCCUAAACAUGAAUCUAUAAUGGCUAAACAUCUUGCAAAGUCUGACAGACCAAGGGAAUCGGCACCGGCUGAGGGGUAGUGCUAGACUGGGAGCAUAUGGUGUAGAAAUGGUGGUGGUGAAGAUGGCAUUUAGCAUCAACCUUUUUUGAGGGAGUAUGCAACUAACAUUAUGCCCAGGUUUCAUGCUUGUCAUGAUUACUUACAUUGGCUCCAUGUAACUAAUCUUGCUUGUCCAUUCUGCAUUACCCCCUUAGUUGAUGAUGUAACAACAGGCCCUCUAACCGUCGAAUGUCAUUGUUAUUACUAUGAUAUUAUUGUUAUUAGUAUGAUAUUGUAAUUAUUGAUAUUGUAGCUUUGAAACUGCUUCUGGAAGAAACUAGUUAUAUAUGUCCGGAGGAUCACUUAAACUUUCAUAGCAUUUAAGAUUUGUAGCUAGGAAGACUUUAUGAGUUAGUAAUUAUAAAGUAUGAUUCAGUAUA